GGCCGCGCUCCGCCAGCACCACCUGCCGGCAGCGCCCGCGGCAGGGACGCGCCCCGCGGAGUCCCCGACACCACCAGAACAGCCAGAGACAUUGAAAACAAACAACAAUAAUAGCGACGAAAAUAUAUUAACAUAAAAAAAACCCCAGUACUAAGUAUAAUUACAAUAAAUUAAUAUUGAUAGUAGUAGAACUACCACUAACCGGACCACAGCAAGAACUGAAUAUCCGUGGUCCGUGCCCUGCCCGGGCCUCUGCGUGUCCCUAUGCCCAGGAAUGCCAGGGCGACCAGCUCCGUUGCCACCGAUGGAACCAGAAUGAAUCCCAAAGUCUCUUACUGUUCCCUCAAACCCAAAUUUCUGCAUUAAGCAGUUUUUAAAGGUAAAGUAACACCUCUGAUCCAGGGUGUUUCAGCAACACCUCAUGAGGCACUGAAAGAGGUUGCUCAGAGAUGCUGUGAGUGCUCCAGCCCUGGAAGUGUUCAAGACCAGGCUGGAUGAGGCUCUGACCAACCUGGUCUAGUGAAAGUUGUCAGAUCCUUCAAGUCCCUCCCAACCCAAACCAUUCUAUGUUUGUAUGAAAAUCUGUGGCCAACUGCUCCCCCUCCCCCAUCCUCACACUGUCACAGCUAGCAGAGAGCCAGCUGCCGCUCCUGGUGCUGGAGGGGAGUAGAAAAGCAGCCUGGACACUGUUACUGGAAAGGGAGAAAUAAAGAACAAAACCACAGCAAUUCAAAUUGCUAAGAAAAUCACUAAUAAAUAAAUAAACAAAGCACUAUAAUAAAAAAAAUCACUAAUAAAUAAAACACUCAAAUAAACAAACAAGCAGUAACACUGCAAAGUAACAUUAGCAAAGUAUCGUGUAUACACACAAUCUGUAAGCAGUGAAAUGAAGCCAAACCAUCACUAUGUAUUUGAUUUUUUAAAAUCCAUUUUAAGUAUGCUUAUCAAUUGUCUCUAACUGAAAUGUGGUCUUACAAAUUUUUCAAAGACAGAGUUUCAGUUAGAACUUUUCACUCAAACAGAGUGAUUCAGCUGUAAUGCCUUUAUCUUGAAAAGUAAAAUGUAAUUUUCAAUUUUUGACAGUAGGUUGCAAUUUAAAAUGAUAAUACAAUUUAUUAUAUAAAUUAUGCCAUAAAUGAAAAUAUAAUCUAGAAUAAUUUCUGGUUUUUUAUAUAUAGAAAGAAAAAUCUUUUAGUUCCCAUUACAUUAAGAAACACCAGAAGCAACUUAAAAAUCCUAGUUUAUAAUUUUAUUUUCAAUUUUAUUAUUCUUCUCUUUUAUGAAUUUUUCUCUUCUCUAGGAGGUUUUAUUACUAUCAGAGUCUCAGUGCAGAUUUUAUUUGACAGCAAUUUUUGGGCUGGACACUUUGACUUGGCUAUUCCCCAGAGUCAUCCAGCAGAGCUAUGUCACCCAGCCCUCAAGAUACAGAGCGACGAACUGAGGACAGACCUUCUGCUUGCUUCUGCUGUGAAAGAGUUGGAAAAACAUGAUACUCACACUUUUACUAACCAGUAGAUAAACCAAUAUAAAUUUCCAUCUCCACUGUUGGCAAUAUUGUUAGCUCAAUUAACUCUAACUGAAAAGUCAGUCCUGGAUGUGUUUCUGGGGAUGGGGUUGGGUAGAUGCUUUUAUAAUUCCCUUUUUUAAGUCACAGGUUCUUAGCACCACUGUUUUGAUGAACACAAUAGUGCAGCACACCUGCAACAUCAGGAUAAAUUGCAGACACAUACCUAUAUAAUCUCUUUUGCUAGACAGGUUGUGUAUUAAAAAAAAAAACCAACAAAACAGUUGUAAAAGCUACCAGACCUUUUAAGCUUGUGGCAUCACAAAAAACACAAAAAUACCUCUAUCAGCUAACACAGUUGAUUGCAAAAGCAUGAGUUAUAAAAUCUUAAUUUGCACAAGCACAACUCUCAGUAUUUGGGGAGUAGCACAUUAGCCAUUUUACAAACCAGAUUAUAUUACUGGCAGAUUAUGCUGGUAUUUGUUUUAUACCUUGGUGGUGAAAAAGGUUAAGAGGUUAAAUAUUGUACCUGUAUCCCAGUGAGACACUUUGCACAACACCACAUGAAUUUUGUGUUUUACUCUGUUUUCAUUUUCAGUGUGAAAUAUUUGUGCACAACUGUUCAUUUCAAUAUCCUAAAAAUAUUUUAUCAAUGCUAUGAUCUAGGUAUGGAUUGUAAAACAUAAAAGUACAGUAAAUUUAAUGGAAAGAAGUGUUUAAGAAUUAAAAUCAAGCAAUAGAUGUUUUAUCCAGAGAGCAUUUUAAAAACAAAAGUAUAGGUUAAUUGUAUGAUAAAAAUCCUCUUAAUUAACAGCUAAAUCAACACGUAUUAAAAGGCACUUCACAACAACUGAUCGUACAUCAGCCAAAAUUAGCUGAUUUUGUGGCUUUAAACAGCAGUGAGGCUGCUCUACUGAUCUAAAUCUAAAUGCUGAACUGCUGAACCCAUUUUCUAGGAUAAAUUUAGCUGUUCUUUCGUGUUCCAUUUUUCUUUGGUACUUGGAUCAGUUAUGCAGUGUAUAAUUAUGCCAGUGCAGUUAGACAGUGCUUUCCAUCUGAAUGUCUCAACACGCUUUUCAGACUUAAUUACUUUGGGUUUGGGAAUCCUUCAUGACGUAGAUACUAAUACUCAAAGUCAAUAGGGAAGGAAACAGAGUCAGGGAAGAGGGGAGUACCUAGAAAAGGAUGGAAAUGAAGCCUCAGUUUCCUGGAAUCUAUUUUUUGUUGCCACCUUGCUUUUACAAUGUGUGAAACCAAGAUGCUCUUCAUGUUUAGCUUCUGGACAUAUCAGGAAAUACCUUGCUUUUGACAAUGGUAAGUAGUGUGGCACUGACCUUACACAAAAGCCCAAGUAAAAGCCAGAUGCUAAAUACUUCUUCUUCAUCCUCACAAGUACUGUCACCCAUUUGCAUUCCCAAAAGGAGCCUACCAACUACCUAGAAGCCCAGGGCAAGGCACAGGGGUGUCCUUCCCACUCCUCUUAAGCACACAGCAUCACUUGGUACUAGGAGUUAAGCGCUUACACAGAACAUGAAGCCAAGCUCCAUCUUUUCUCAGCAUGAGAGAAAACUCACACUUUACCUUGCACCUCUGUGGAGAGUUUCGUAUGAUUUCAUUUUAUAUGAAAGACACCUUUCUCUUUCAAGCUAUUUUUCUUAGCAGAAAAUAGACAAAAUUUCUUUUUUUCUGAAAUAAAUCUAGAAAAAUCCCUUCAGCAGAAGUUCUUGGCUGUAGAUGGCUUUACUUGAAUAGUAAAGAGAAAAUGGUUUUAGACAUACCUAUGUUGUCAAAAUAUUUCACCAAGUAAAUGAACUUAAUAUACUUGAGAGACCAUGAAUGUACUUGAGGACUGAAUAUCUUUAUCAGCUGGCUACCUUUAAGGCUUGAAUAGAAGGGAAAAUAAACCUCACAUGCUCAUUUUUACACGUUUUAUCACAUUUUGCACACUGAAGAAUUCCUAAAGUGCAACAUAAACUUCAGAUCUGAGGAACCCUUCUCUGCUCAGCCCUAACCUCUCACUAUUUUAGCACCUCGGUUUAUUAGAGGGACGGAAAAUUGCAUCUCUGGCACCUAGAACCUUAACACUGGUUUGUCAAGAUUAGGAAGCUUUUUUGUUUCCAAAUCUGUUUUUCUGGGCUUUAGGACUUUCAUUCAGAGGACAGCUCAAACUCAGAAUAGAUGCCGUCCAUAACAGCCAUGCUCAAGCAAGAGGAUCAGCUGAACACAGGAACAGCUAUUAAUGCUACACACUCUGUGUGCUAACAAGCCCAGCUGAAAAGCAGGCCUUAUUAGGUGGAAUCCAGGAUCAUGAAAAGAAAGGAUAGCUGCAUAGCAGUUUGCUGUAUUAAAUGAUAAAUCAGCCAUGCAGAAAGAGAGCAGAGAGGUAAAACACUCAUUAGCAUUUCCCAGACAUAUCUAGCUUAUCUAGGUCACUGUAAAGUAAGUACUCACCACUUUGACUGCCAAAGCUUUAAUUCUUUUCUAAUGUCUAGAAACACAUAAUGAAGUAAAAUAAUUAACUGAUUGUUAACAUAUGAGUGGCAUCAUGUGUUGUUCAUAUGUACCUACAUAGUUCUGUGGUACUACUUAUGAAGAAGUAUAUGGUGCAAUGCAAGAAAUAUGAAUCCAGAAUACAGAUUCCUUCUCACCCAACUGCACUUGCCUCUUUAAACCAUCUUGUAUUUUGCUUUUGGCAGUGUGUAUGGGCUGUCACCAACACAGAACUCCUAGAGGUCAUAAUACUGGAAGGAUUCAGCGACACAGAAGAACAGAGUUGCAAAGAUAAGGUCUCCAUGGGAGCUGCAGGGUACUCCUUCAGCAUGUGUUUCCCCAGCACAAGAAUACUAGCUUCUCCUCGAGUUCAACCAUACAAGGGUGUUUGUCUACAGGAUCAGUCGUAUCCUGAUGUUCUCAGGCAAGCCCAGCCAGUUAUUUCCUCUAACUCACACUUCUAGUUAAGAGUUAGGGGUACCUCAGAAAACAUUGACUCCUCAAGGAUGUGUGAACAAAGUCCUCUAAGUGCCAAUUAUACAGCCACCAUUCUCAUUGCUAUUAUUGUUUAUUUUAAGUGCUAACUACAGUUUUUUUGAUCCCUGGAUUAGCAUUUAAAUUCCUGAAUAUAACAGCAUUGCAGGAAUACAUGAAAAGGCAUGAGAAAACUGAGUGUACAGAUAGAUGUGCUUAAUUCAGUAGAGCUCAGCUUAUCCUUUGACUCCUGUGGUGCAUGUACGCAUAUAAUGUUCCUCCCUUAUAGCUAUGCAAGUAAUUCUUAGUGACAAAGAGUAAUCUUAUUACUGGCUUCCUCCAUGUUAAGAUGGAGAAGAUUGGGAGAUAUACAGAAUGUUUAAUGAUGCAUGUGGCAUGCAAGAGAAACUAUGUAAUUUACUGGGAAAGACACUGGAGGAAAGAGCGCUCGAGUGACACAUCACUGCUCCUCUGUCAAGAAUAAAAAGAAGAACAAAUUAGGGUUUGUUAAUUUCCUUGGCCACACUUCUGCCUCUAAGAAUUCUACAGUAGAAAAAUUUGCAUUGAUCUAAAAUAUUUGCUUGAAUAAUGAGGGUCAUAUAAACCAACAUAAACUUGCAUUCAUUUGGCACUCUCUGAUAUCCCAUAUUUGAGACUGAGGUAUAGUUUGCUACAGGCCUAGCUUGUGGAUCAAACAUUGUUAGCUGCAGCUUGUGCAAAUUGUGCAUGUUUCAGGACCACUGAACAUUAUCUAUAAAAAGGAUUUAAGGUAGAUACUGCUGUAUCUCAAAUUGUUCACACACUUCUGAGCACUAAAGAUACUCGUGAGUGCAAAGAGCACAUUCAAUAUUUAAUAAUACAGUGGUAGAAACAAAACCAGUGUGAACUCUGUGUCAAGUCUGGAAUGGAAUUAGAUACAGAGACCAUGGUGAAGGUAAAUGGUAUCUCAGCUGUCCUGCAGAACUCUGCCUGCAGACUCUGCAAAAUGAGCUGCAGGACCCAGGGAAACUUGCUGAACAUCCCUCCGGCCUGACCAAUUAGAGCAGUCUGCAUAGGCUUUAUCACUGUGUCUUAUCUUUUAAAGGAGGGAACAGAACCUCAGGUAGUAUAAAUUACUCUUGUCACUUCAAUUCCAGCACCUAUUUAAACCAAUUUACACCAUUUGCCUUAAUGAACAAAGCAGAAAUUGACCUGGUAAUAGGAAAUAUGCUGGAUUUGCAGAUUAAAACCUCUUCUCUUGAAAGAAUUGUGCCUGUAAUAUGUAACCCUUUUUGUCUCUAAUCUAGCUUAGACAGCCCAUGACAGACAUGUUUUUCAAACAUGUAAUAGCAGUAUUCACUAUGAAAACCAUACCUAGAUAAGCCACUAUCACUGAGCUAGGAGACAUGAGACACUUCCCAUCCUAAAUAGCAGUUUUGCUUAAAUACACUACUUCCUUGGCAAAAUGAAAAUCUUCUGGUUUAAUCUUCAAUUAAAAGUAAUUAAUACCAGGGUUAUUUAUUUAAAAAUGAAGUAAGUGGAAAUUUCCACUGCAGAGAAGUCAUGUCUUAUAAUGCCCACUCAAUACUAUUUCUGAAAAUACCCAUUACAGAUCGAUGGAAGCUGACUUAUUCAAGCAUUAAGUCUUGCUUGCUAGGAUAGGUGCAAUGAAGUGUUAUCAAAAGUAUAUAAUCUACUUUCAGGAUUAUUAACUUCCCAGAGCUCAAGUUACUUGUUUUAAAAGAAAAAAACAGCAAAUGAAUACAAAUCAAAAGGUAGAGAAGAUAUUUCCAAAUGCUUUGAAUUUAGAAUGAAAACUCUGACUGCUAUUUCAGUAUAAAAUUAAAGCAUUAAUCCUGAAGCACAGGCUAAUUAUAUUAUAUUAUACAUAUCCUAAAGUGAUUUGUUUGGAAUGCUUCAUUUCUGCUUAUUUUGUUAUUGACAUACAGGCUUUCCUUUCCUGAUAGACUCAAUAAGCUUUUCCUAGACACAUUUUUCUCCCUGUACCUUCACUCAACAUCGCUAUCACUUCACAGCAGGUAUAUGGAGUAACUGAUAGAGUGACUAUUUUAAAGAGUUCAUUGCCAUCUUAGAUUUCAUUUCAGAGUUGACCUCAAGCAGUUGCUGUGCUGAGAUGCUUUGUGCAUCCACAGUUACAGCUAGGCAUGAGUAUUUAGAAAUGCUGAUAAAGAGGCACUUUGUAUAAGCAAAAGAACACUUUGUACAGACCAGUAGAUUGAUGGUAAUCCUUUCCACUACUCUUACUACAGAGUUUGAAGCCAGAAGAGACCACCUGAAGAGGAUCAAAGGGCUGAAAAGAGGUGCAGGGGUGUCAAGAGGAUGGGUCCACACUAUUCAGUGGUGCCCAGCAACAGGACAAGGGGCAACAGGCACCAACUGAAACACAGGAAGUUUCACCUGAACAUAGGGAAAACCUUCUUUACUCCAAGGGUGGCAGAGCAUUGGAACAGGCUGCCCAGAGAGGUUGUGGAGUCUCCUUCUCUGGAGAUAUUAAAAACCCACCGGGACACAACACUGUGGAACCUGGUCUAGGUGAUCUGCUUUAGCAGGGGGUUGGUUGGACUGGAUGAUCUCCACAUGUCCCUUCCAACCCUAACUGUCCUGUGACUCUGUGAUUAAGUGGAAGUGAUUAAGUCAAUUACAAUGUUGAAUCAAUUACAGUAUCUCAGAAAUGAUCCCUCUACUGGUACCACACAUUGCUGACACUCAGUUGUUACGUGCCUAUACAAGUAAAGGUCUCCAGAGUUCUCAUUUCACAUACAGUGAUUACAGCUUAAAGAGGUUAGAAAACAACUUUUAGUUUUUAAGGAGCAUGUGAUGGUAAAGAAAAAGAAAAUUUAGUUUAAAAACCUUAAGGACAGUGAGUAAUAGCUGCUAUUUUGAUUUGCUAAUGUAUUCGAGCUGGGUAUCUAAAGCAGGGGUUUUAUCUUUAACUUCCAUCAAACCUUCCUAGACAUGUUCACCACUGAAAACUUAACAAGAAAAUUAACUGAACUGAAACAUGCGGACAAAUUAAAAAGACUCACUAAAUUCACUACAGCAGCUGAUGACGCCAUCACCAAACAGAAGAUACUAAUGGAGAAAUAUUUCUUGCAAUAAUAUCCAUCAUCCUGAAAUUGCUCUGGAAUAAAAGAAACACUGGUAGCUUUCUUCUGAAACAUUUAUUCUCAAUUUCAACAUGAUUAAAUAAAAAAAAUAUUUUUCUGCUUCUUUCCAAUAAAAGUAAUUAUUCAAAAGAAAGAGCAAAAUUGGACACUACAAGGGCAUACUUGAGGCAAAGCCAUCUUUUAAAACAUUUAGUACUUUGAGAUACCUGCCUCAUUCAGGGUAAAAUAUAGUCAUCGGAUCUUCAAUGUUAGAAAAGAAGAUUAAAAAAAGAAAAAUUACAGCACUUACAGUUUGAGGCUGAUGCAAUAAACACAAAUAGUUUUAAUUUAAGGCUUCAUAUUGAAAAAAACCAACCAAGCAAACAAACAAGCAAGUUUGCUUUUCUCUCUUGCAGGGGAAUAUUCCCAGACCUAUCCCUUGGCAGCUGCAACAUCCCAUGACAUUUUGGUGGCAGUGUCUAGAAGCAUCCUUAACACCCCAUCAGGUAAAUGGAGAUAAUAAAUAGCACUUGCCUGUCUCACAGCAGUUUGAGAAGAUAUAACAGAGAGGAUAAAAUGCACAGAAGUGUUAAAUCCCAACCAUCCUUGAGGAAAUGAUUUUCCAGGUGAACACAUUUUACUUCCAAGAUAUUUUCCUUAUGCUCGAUUUGAAUCUUUGGUGCUGUGAUUCCAUUCCCCUUGCUCCAGCAGUGUUACCCUAAACACACAUCAGCCAUUUUCACAUGUGCAUACAACAUUCCCAACACCUUAACUCCUCCCUGAAAACAUGUCUUACCUCUGCUACUUUGUAUACAUUUUUAAACUUCUGCUCUGAAAUCAACCCCUUUCACUUAAUGUUAUUGAUGUAUUUCAAAUCUUCUUUUGAUUUCCUUCCAAUCUCUCAAAAUUUAAUAUUUCCUACAAAAUAUGUGUCCCUGUUUAAAGAAAUCAGUGGUGUGGUUCCACUAAUACGAGUGCAAACAUGAUUUUUAAUCUGUUCAUGAUUAUUUCUCGUAGAUGAGAAAUCUUUGUCUCCCUCUGCAUUACCAGGACUUCUUCUUCUUGCAUUUUAAAUCAGAAUAUUAAUCAUUACAUUUAUCAAUCUACGCUUUGCUGAGAGGAAUCUCUUCUUUCAGAGGUUUUUUUGGUUUGUUUUUUUUUUUUUGUUUGUUUCUUUGGUUUCUUUUUUGUGUGUUUGUUUAUUUUAUUAGGUUUGCUCAGUGAAGUCUCUUUCAGCCCCACAGUGGUUUUGUACCUUCAAUAGUAUUUGAAACCAACCUUUGUAGUGAUGCCAUGAAGACCUUUUGCCUUUUCUUUUAUACUCCUGUUAUACCUUUUUACAACUUCUGUAUUCUUAGUGCUUUUUGCCUACAUUCUUGGACUUGUUUGUCAAGCUAAGAGACUAAACAUUUUAGAAGCUUCGUAUGUAAGGGUUAGUGUGCCCCAGACCCCAAGGUCCUCUCCAGAGCACAUUCUAUAAACCAAGAUAGAACCAUCCAGGGGAAGAUUCCUCAGGGAGGAUGGCUCGUUCAAUCCUCUCAUUGGGAAUUUUUUGAUAGAUAUGCUGAUUAGUAAAACCUAUAAUGUUGUACCAGAUCUUUUGAGGGUGUGCAUUGCGGUGCAUUCGACCUGGACGUGUGCACCUAAGGAUCCUUAAAAUAAAUACCAAGGUAAAAUCCCUUUUUCCCUUCUAACCGUGUUUGACUCUUGAUUUUAAGACCAGGAAAAGGCAUCAGUAUCACAUGCAAAUUUUAUGAACAUGCUACCUGUCUCCUUCUUCCAAAUCAUUAAAGAUGAUGUUAAUCCAGGCCAAAAUUAAUAUUGGUCCUGUGGUACUUCAUUAGACACUUACAGUUUAAAAUACCUGGUCAAAUCUACUCUUGUUAUAAAAAAAAAAAAAAAAAAAAAAAGGCUAAUUUCAAUGAAGUAGAAAACUUGCACCAAUGUAUGCUGUGGAUAUACUCACAGCACACUUAGCCAGCCAGGCUCAUAGUUCAGUGCCUUAGAAAGCCCUGAGCUGCCUAGAGAGACUGCACAGGCGAUCAAGCACUUCAGCAGCUCCAAAAGCGCCAAGUGGUAGCUGCAAAGCUGAUACCAAGAGCAGGAGCAAAGAGGUAGAAAUGUAGCCCUCGUUCUAUGCUUUAAUCCUGCCAGUAGAUUGUACUGGGUCCGAGACAGAGACACACACAGGCUGUUAGCAGAAGGGUAGCCUGAGCAAGAGAGGACGGAGCCCACUCCGCUUGUCUUUUAUUGGGGGGAAGGGAAAGGGGAGAACUAGGGGCAGACCCAGCGUACCCAGCCAAUCGGACUCUGCUUCGGUGGAAUCCGAGUUACUUUCAGUUUUACCCGCGCUUAGAACAAAGGGGAUUCAGAGCACAUGGCAGGGACAGGUCCUGGCUUCUCUGACCAGUCUUGGGCCUGGCUGCACCUCAGGGGCAGGCAGCAACAGUAUGCAAGCGAUGACUCUGGCCCAUUUCCUUUUGUCAUUAGCCUUUAUUUGUAGGCAAGAGUUCAAUUUACAGCAUUUAUUGAAACUGUCAAUAUUUUGCCGUUCAAGCAUAGCCUGAGCCUCAUGUGGUGCUCUCCUAUUUAGGAGCCUUGAUGGGUUUUGCUUUAUAAAGUGGCUGAGCACUUAUACUAUAACCUAAAGGUCCUUCUAAGACCUGCAGCCAUGAGAGCCAGCACAGCCGUAUGGGUCCUAUCUCCUUCCUCCAGCUCAGUCUGUGUCUGAUAGCUUCAGAUGAUGCCUCCUGCUUCUCCCAGGGGAACAAACAGGCUGGUCUUACCAUAGCUGCACAGUUUGCACAGAUGCUAGAUGGAUGUGAUCCCUCAAGCAAGCAAUUGGAAGGGAACUGCUUGCUUGGAUCAGCAUGUACUGCAAAGAUCAACAGAGGUGCAAAAUGUAGUGGGGGAAGAUGCCAACAUAUUUUAAAUCCAGAAAAAAACCCCAAACUAAACCAAAACAAUACACAAAAAAACCCAAACCAACAAAACCCAUGUCAUUUUAUCCAAUUAUCAGUAUAAUUACUAGAACAGUUGACUCUACAGACCAAAUAACUUGUAAAAUUCCUUUAAAGUGCAUGAUGAGGCUUUGAGAAAUGGUGUCUAGAGAAAGAUGUCCCUGUCAUGGCAGGGGGGCUGGAACUAGAUGAACUUCGAGGUCCCUUCCAACCCAAACCAUUCUAUGAUUCACAAUCUUUCUCCCACUUCUGCCCAUGUACAGCUUUUUAUUUUACUUCUUCAAUGACUCUAAAAGGUGUACUCUAGGCCAAAUACUAAAGGCCAGUAGUGUCCAGAGAAUAAAAGACAAUGAAAUAGUCCUCCUUUUCCUUUAGGAAAAGCAUUUUGUCCAUUGCCAAUGGGGUAAUGCACAAAACAUGCCGGGGCGGUAAAUGGAGCUUUCGCAGAAACAAUGAAUUUUUUUUCAUGUUGAUGAUAAGAAGGGAAGAUGGUUACUCAAUAUCAAGUGAAAAACAGAAUAGAUUUGCAGAUAGAAGAACCAGCUGUAGUUCUGAGUAGUCAUAGUAUCUGUUUCAAUUAAAAGAGGUGAAGUUCUAAAGUGCAGAGGGUUUCACCAACCACCACUUAAAUAGUUCUGCCAGAGGAAAAAGGAAAAUGAGGAAUGAAAUAUAAAACAUCACCCAUGCCUUUUGUUACACAGAGACAUUAAUUUCUUGUACAAUGAAUGAAGAUCUAUCUCAGUGCAAAGUCACUAUCCAGCCCAUUUGCAAUUAUUCUGUGGCUUCUUUUGCUAAAUACAAAAAAUAAGAUUUCUUGCAGGGGGG